rnacentral:rRNA from 1 species
CCUACGGGAGGCAGCAGUAGGGAAUAUUGCUCAAUGGGGGAAACCCUGAAGCAGCAACGCCGCGUGGAGGAUGAAGGUUUUAGGAUUGUAAACUCCUUUUGUUAGAGAAGAUUAUGACGGUAUCUAACGAAUAAGCAUCGGCUAACUCCGUGCCAGCAGCCGGGGUAAUACGGAGGAUGCGAGCGUUACCCGGAUUUAUGGGGUUUAAAGGGUGCGCAGGCGGCCUGUUAAGUCAGCGGUAAAAGCCUGGGGCUAAACCCCGGCGAGCCUUUGAAACUGGCGGGCUUGAGUUGGAGAGAGGUAGGCGGAAUGCGUGGUGUAGCGGUAAAAUGCUUAGAUAUCGCGAAGAACACCGAUUGCGAAGGCGGCGUACCGGCUCCACACUGACGCUGAGGCACGAAAGCGUGGGUAUCGAACAGGAUUAGAUACCCGAGUAGUC